rnacentral:tRNA from 1 species
GGAGGGAUGGCCGAGUGGUUUAAGGCACUAGUCUUGAAAACUAGCGUGGAUGCAAGUCCACCGUGGGUUCGAAUCCCACUCCCUCCGCCA